rnacentral:rRNA from 1 species
AGCGAACGCUGGCGGCGUGCCUAACACAUGCAAGUCGAACGUGAAAAGGGAAACCUGAGUAAAGUGGCGUACGGGUGAGUAACACGUAGGUAAUCUACCUAAGAGUCUGGAAUAACCGGCCGAAAGGCUGGCUAAUACUGGAUAGAGCGAAGGACAACGUAAGGUUGUCUUCGGGAAAGGGAGGUCGAUAAGAUCCCUCGCUUUUAGAUGAGCCUGCGUCCCAUUAGCUAGUUGGUAGGGUAACGGCCUACCAAGGCGAUGAUGGGUAGCUGGUCUGAGAGGAUGAUCAGCCACACUGGAACUGAAACACGGUCCAGACUCCUACGGGAGGCAGCAGUGGGGAAUCUUGCGCAAUGGACGAAAGUCUGACGCAGCAACGCCGCGUGAGUGAAGAAGGCCU